UACGUAGGUGGCAAGCGUUACUCGGAAUCACUAGGCGUAAAGCGCAGGUAGGCGGUUCGGUAAGUCUCUUGUGAAAGCUCCCGGCUCAACUGGGAGAGGUCAAGGGAAACUACCGGGCUAGAGUGUGGCAGAGGAAGCUGGAAUUCCCGGUGUAGCGGUGAAAUGCGUAGAGAUCGGGAGGAACACCAAAGGCGAAGGCAGUGUCCUGGGGAGUACCUGACGCUCAGGUGCGAAAGCCAGGGGAGCGAACGGG
rnacentral:rRNA from 1 species